AUGAACGCUGGCGGCGUGCCUAAUCCAUGCAAGUCGAGCGCACAGACGAGGAGCUUGCUCCUCUGACGUUAGCGGCGGACGGGUGAGUAACACGUGGAUAACCUACCUAUAAGACUGGGAUAACUUCGGGAAACCGGAGCUAAUACCGGAUAAUAUAUUGAACCGCAUGGUUCAAUAGUGAAAGACGGUUUUGCUGUCACUUAUAGAUGGAUCCGCGCCGCAUUAGCUAGUUGGUAAGGUAACGGCUUACCAAGGCGACGAUGCGUAGCCGACCUGAGAGGGUGAUCGGCCACACUGGAACUGAGACACGGUCCAGACUCCUACGGGAGGCAGCAGUAGGGAAUCUUCCGCAAUGGGCGAAAGCCUGACGGAGCAACGCCGCGUGAGUGAUGAAGGUCUUCGGAUCGUAAAACUCUGUUAUUAGGGAAGAACAAAUGUGUAAGUAACUAUGCACGUCUUGACGGUACCUAAUCAGAGAGCCACGGCUAACUACGUG
rnacentral:rRNA from 1 species